AAUCGCCCGCUCCAUGGAGGUCAAGGCUCCCAUGGCUGAGCGAUCUUUCAAUCUGGUCGCACCGCUGGCUCACGAGGCCACCGACAUGCGCAUUGAGGAUACCGUCCGCCGGCGUGCGGACCGGUCCAGCGCAGUUUCCCAAUUGAGCAAUCGAUCGGGCGACGUAGAUAGUGCGAUAUAUCC
rnacentral:sRNA from 1 species